AUACGGAAGGUCCAGGCGUUAUCCGGAUUUAUUGGGUUUAAAGGGAGCGUAGGCGGGAUAUCAAGUCAGCUGUGAAAUGUAGAUGCUCAACAUCUGCACUGCAGUUGAAACUGGUGUUCUUGAGUGCGUAAGAGGUAGGCGGAAUUCGUCGUGUAGCGGUGAAAUGCAUAGAUAUGACGAAGAACUCCGAUUGCGAAGGCAGCUUACUGGGCCGCAACUGACGCUGAAGCUCGAAGGUGCGGGUAUC
rnacentral:rRNA from 1 species